rnacentral:rRNA from 1 species
AUUGAACGCUGGCGGCAGGCCUAACACAUGCAAGUCGAACGAGUGGCGGACGGGUGCGUAAUGUCUGGGAAACUGCCUGAUGGAGGGGGAUAACUACUGGAAAAGGUAGCUAAUACCGCAUACCAUCGGAUGUGCCCCGAUGGGAUUAGCUAGUAGGUGGGGUAAAGGGUCAACUAGGCGAGGAUCCCUAGCUGGUCUGAGAGGAUGACCAGCCACAUUGGAACUGAUACACGUUCCAGACUCCUACGGGAGGCAGCAGUGGGGAAUAUUGCACAAUGGGCGCAAGCCUGAUGCAGCCAUGCCGCGGGUACGAAUAAGGCCUUCGGGGUGGAAAGUACUUUCAGCGGGGAGGCGUUACCCGCAGAAGAAGCACCGGCUAACUCCGUGCCAGCAGCCGCGGUAAUAC